GCAUCUACAGUGUCUGGAGUAAUUCCCUUGCCAAGUGAACUUUCAGCAACAGUUCAUCUUGAAGAAACAAGUGGUUUGAGGGAAACAACUUUUGCUCCACCUACUCCAGCUCAACCUGGUAUCAAAACAACUACCACAGCAACCACACCAGAAGU